AUUGAACGCUGGCGGCAGGCCUAACACAUGCAAGUCGAGCGGAGCGGCGGAGGGGUGAGGAAUGACUAGGAAUCUGCCUGGUAGUGGGGGAUAACGUCCGGAAACGGGCGCUAUUACCGCAUACUAGCAGAUGAGCCUAGGGCGGAUUAGAUAGUUGGUGGGGCACAGGCAUAACAAGGCGACGAUCCGUAACUGGUCUGAGAGGAUGAUCAGUCACACUGGAACUGAGACACGGUCCAGACUCCUCCGGGAGUCAGCAGUGGGGAAUAUUGGGCAAUGGGCGAAAGCCUGACCCAGCCAUGCCGCGUGAGUGAAGAAGGUCUUCGGAUUGUAAAGCACUUUAAGUAGAGAGGCGUUACCUACAGAAUAAGCACCGGCUAACUUCGUGCCAGCAGCCGCGGUAAUAC
rnacentral:rRNA from 1 species